rnacentral:rRNA from 1 species
UACAGAGGGUGCUAGCGUUGUUCGGAAUCAUUGGGCGUAAAGGGCGUGUAGGCGGUUUGUUAAGUCAUGUGUGAAAUCCCUCGGCUCAACCGGGGAACGACGCAUGAAACUGGCAAGCUAGAGUCCGGAAGAGGAGAGUGGAAUUCCUGGUGUAGCGGUGGAAUGCGCAGAUAUCAGGAGGAACACCAAUAGCGAAGGCAGCUCGCUGGGACGUUACUGACACUGAGGCGCGAAAGCGUGGGGAGCGAACAGG